rnacentral:rRNA from 1 species
GGGGAAUAUUGGACAAUGGGCGAAAGCCUGAUCCAGCGAUGCCGCGUGUGUGAAGAAGGUCUUCGGAUUGUAAAGCACUUUAAGUUGGGAGGAAGGGUUGUAGAUUAAUACUCUGCAAUUUUGACGUUACCGACAGAAUAAGCACCGGCUAACUUCGUGCCAGCAGCCGCGGUAAUACGAAGGGUGCAAGCGUUAAUCGGAAUUACUGGGCGUAAAGCGCGCGUAGGUGGUUCGUUAAGUUGGAUGUGAAAGCCCCGGGCUCAACCUGGGAACUGCAUACAAAACUGGCGAGCUAGAGCAUGGCCGAGGGUGGUGGAAUUUCCUGUGUAGCGGUGAAAUGCGUAGAUAUAGGAAGGAACACCAGUGGCGAAGGCGACCACCUGGGCUAAUACUGAUACUGAGGUGCGUAAGCGUGGGGAGCAAACA